AUAAUAAUGUAGGCAACAAACAGAAGUUAGGAGUCUUGAUUAGUGAACCAAGUCCCAACAACUUGCCAUGCCAAAAAGAAGAAGAGGAAUUAUCUUGUAUUGGUUUAAGCCUUAUGCAUGAUUUAAAAGACAACAUAUCCUUAAUGCAAAGCCAUUCACUUGAUCAACUGAUCAAGAUGAAUUAGAUUUGAAUCAAGGAAGGUUAAAUCCCUCUAAUCAAUGCUAACUUAUCAACCUUCAACUCAUUGAUCAAAA
rnacentral:lncRNA from 1 species